rnacentral:misc_RNA from 1 species
UUUCCGUAGGUGAACCUGCGGAAGGAUCAUUACAGAGUUCAUGCCCCUCAGGGUAGACCUCCACCCUUGCAUACCCUUACCUUUGUUGCUUUGGCGGUCCGCUUCACCUCGUGUGAGGCCACCGGUCCCGACUGGUGCGUGACCGCCAAAGGAUACCCAACUCUUGAAUAUACGUCGUCUGAGUACUAUACAAAUAGUUAAAACUUUCAACAACGGAUCUCUUGGUUCUG